GACGAACGCUGGCGGCGUGCUUUACACAUGCAAGUCGGACGAGUGGCGGACGGGUGAGUAAUGCUUGGGAAUCUAGCUUAUGGAGGGGUAUAACUACGGGAAACUGUAGCUAAUACCGCGUACCAUAGGAUGAGCCCAAGUGGGAUUAGGUAGUUGGUGAGGUAAAGGCUAACCAAGCCGACGAUCUCUAGCUGGUCUGAGAGGAUGACCAGCCACACUGGGACUGAGACACGGCCCAGACUCCUACGGGAGGCAGCAGUGGGGAAUAUUGCGCAAUGGGGGCAACCUGACGCAGCCAGGCCGCGUGAAUGAAGAAGGCCUUCGGGUUGUAAAGUUCUUUCGGUAGAGAGGCGUUAACUAAAGAAGAAGCACCGGCUAACUCCGUGCCAGCAGCCGCGGUAAUAC
rnacentral:rRNA from 1 species